ACUCAAAUGAAUUGACGGGGACCCGCACAAGCGGUGGAGCAUGUGGUUUAAUUCGACGCAACGCGAAGAACCUUACCAAGGCAUGACAUACCAAUGAACGGAACAGAGAUGUUCAAUUCCUUCGGGACAUUGGAUACAGGUGGUGCAUGGUUGUCGUCAGCUCGUGUCGUGAGAUGUUGGGUUAAGUCCCGCAACGAGCGCAACCCCUACGUUCAGUAGCCAGCACUUUGGGUGGGUACACUGGACGGACUGCCGUGGAUAACACGGAGGAAGGUGGGGAUGAGGUCAAAUCAUCAUGCCCCUUAAGUCUUGGGCUACACACGUGCUACAAUGGCUGCAACAGAGUGAAGCGAGCUCGCGAGGGUAAGCGAAACACAAAAAAGCAGCCUCAGUUCGGAUCGCAGUCUGCAACCCGACUGCGUGAAGUCGGAAUCGCUAGUAAUCGCGAAUCAGCAUGUCGCGGUGAAUACGUUCCCGGGUCUUGUACACACCGCCCGU
rnacentral:rRNA from 1 species